rnacentral:rRNA from 1 species
AGCGGAGGAAAAGAAACCAACAGGGAUUGCCCCAGUAAUGGCGAAUGAAGCGGCAAGAGCCCAAAUUUGAAAUCGGGCAACCGAGUUGUAAUUUGGAGACGGGACACUAGAGAGGAGGAAGGCGAUUAAGUGCCUUGGAACAGGCUGCCGUAGAGGGUGAGAGCCCCGUGAAUCGCUGGAGACCGAUCAAUUAGUGCCCGCCGAAGAGUCGAGUUGUUUGGGAAUGCAGCUCUAAGUGGGUGGUAUAUUCCAUCUAAGGCUAAAUAUUAGCGAGAGACCGAUAGCAAACAAGUACAGUGAUGGAAAGAUGAAAAGAACUUUGGAAAGAGAGUGAAAUAGUACGUGAAAUUGUUGAAAGGGAAGGGUAUUUGAUCCGACAUGGUGUUUAGCAGCGGCCCGUUCCUCGUGGAUGGGUGCACCUGGUUUACACUGGGCCAGCAUCGGUUCUGGGAGCCAUAUACGGGGUUCGUGAAUGUGGCCCUUCGAUUCUGUCGGAGGGUGUUAUAGCGCGGGCAUCUUGUGGCUAGCCGGGACCGGGGACUGCGGUGACUUGUCACCAAGGAUGCUGGCAGAACGAGCAAAUACCACCCGUCUUGA